rnacentral:misc_RNA from 1 species
CGAGAGUCCGCGAGUCGGUGCGUGUCAGUCCGUGCGUGUGCUUUACCUAAUAAUAUUUCCAACGCGGCUAGUCCCGCGCGCUCUCGCCUCUUUUUUCGUCUGACAGCCAACACGCAUCUCGCCGCCCUCUCCUCUCUCUCUUUCUUUCUCUCUCUCUCUCUCUCACUCUCUCACUCUUUCUCUCUCUCUAUCUUUUCUUCACAUUGCUAUAUGUAUGCGUAUAUCUCUCUUUCUCGCUCUUCUUUGUUAGGAUUUAGACGUUUGAAGGUAUACCAAAGCUCUUCGCAUCGCGUCGCGCCGCGCCGCGUUGAGUCGUCGGGACUACCCUCCUCCGUCCCGGUCUUCGACGGAUCUCUCACGAAAGUGAGAGAGGAGAAGAAUCACGCUGCAGAGCAGCACGUGUGCUGCACUCGCGUGGAUCGGUAAGCGCGGUGCGGUUAAAUAGUCAUCGGCUCUCACCACCGUCGAGAGCCCGUCGCGCGCGACAACCGAUGCGAAAGUCGUUCUGCCACCCUCGACGGACUUACCGGUGAACGUUUAUAGCGCGCGACAGCCGCGAGAGUGAAGGGGUGUCCUCGCGAGCAAGUAUCGGCCACGAUUUCGGUUGGAGCAAUAGAUCGGAGUAAAGAAUCUCGGAGUGUCGGAUCUCGCGCAAGUGACAGCGACGGACCCUGCGACUCACCUCCGGGGACUGUGAUUCGUAUAUGCGAGGUGCAACGAAAGUAGGAAUCAGCUAACGGAUUCGCAGUGGUGCCUUCGUCGAACGAAGACGUCGGAGGGAGGACGGACACCGUCGGCCGUCGGCAGCUCUUGUGAACGAGAAGUGUUUAAAGGCCCGAAGAUUCUGCCUUCGCAGCAAUUGGGCGCUGCGGUCGCUCCAUGGCCGGGCGCAACCGGCCUCAUAGCUUCGGUCACUGCUGACGACAUGGCACACAAAGGACACAGCGGGGUAAACCAGCUGGGGGGUGUCUUCGUCGGCGGUCGGCCACUUCCGGACUCAACACGGCAAAAGAUCGUCGAGCUUGCACAUUCGGGCGCACGGCCAUGUGAUAUCUCCAGGAUACUACAGGUCAGCAACGGCUGUGUCUCCAAGAUCCUCGGCAGUAGGUACUAUGAGACCGGAUCUAUAAGGCCCAGGGCCAUAGGCGGCAGCAAACCGCGCGUGGCAACGGCAGAGGUCGUCAGUAAGAUCUCGCUCUACAAAAGUGAGUGCCCGUCCAUCUUCGCGUGGGAGAUUCGAGAUCGCUUGUUGCAGGAGGGAGUGUGCACGAACGACAACAUCCCAAGUGUGUCCUCGAUCAACAGGGUACUGAGGAAUCUGGCCGCGCAGAAGGAGCAGAGGCAGCAGCAACAACAGCAGCAACAAGGGGUGGGCGCUGUGGGGGUUGGCGUCGGUGCCGGCAGUCCGGCGGAGAGCGUUUACGAUAAACUCAGGCUACUAAACGGACAGACUACUGGCUGGCCGCGACCCAAUCCCUGGUAUCCGUCGAGCGCGGGAAGUCCGUUUUCGUCGAUACAAUCUAGUUUGAGUCCGAGCCAUUGUUCAUCUCUGCCACCGGAUCCAGCGGAUAUAUUGCACGCGAAGAAAGUAACCGAGCUCGAGGGUGGCGCGCACUCGGACGAGACGAAUAGCGGUGGUGACAACAGCAACGCUGGCAGCGUGUCAGGCGGCGCCGAUGACGAUCAGGCGCGUCUUCGCCUAAAGAGGAAACUGCAAAGGAAUCGCACGAGCUUCAGCAACGAGCAGAUCGACGCGCUCGAGAAGGAGUUCGAGAGAACGCAUUACCCGGACGUAUUCGCCAGGGAAAGACUUGCCGGCAAGAUCGGCCUACCGGAAGCGCGAAUACAGGUCUGGUUUUCGAAUCGGCGGGCCAAGUGGCGGCGCGAGGAGAAAUUGCGCACGCAACGGAGGGAUAAUCCACCACCGCCACCGCAGCAGCAGCAGCAACAGCAACAACAGCAACAACAACACACUGCCGGCGUGAGUCUAGUGGGUGCUGGCCAUCCGACGCCGCCGCCACCCUCGGGGAUACUCGGGGGCCAGCCGCCUCCACAAGCACCACCCUCACCACCUAGAAUACAUCAUGGGUUUGCGCCCACCGCUGUGUACCCCGGAAUACCCAGCAUGCCUGAUUCGUACAGCCCGAUGACGUCGAUGCCGAGUUUCACGAUGUCGGGCGCCAGCCAACAGAAUCAGCACACGACGAGUAGCAUGUCCUCGCUAUCCACCGGGGGUGGCAUGAGCCCGAUGGGUAUGACCGUGGGUAUGACCGUCGGACCGAGUCCUGGCGCGUGCCUCCAACAACGGGAUAAUGGCUAUUCGUGUGGAGUCGCGAGACCACCGAGCUACGAGCCCCUUCACCUUGGUUACGGUGCCAGGCCAACCUGCAGCCCUACGCAGCCCUAUCACGCGGCGAGCCUCAAUCAGUACAAUCAAAACGCCAGCUCGACCGGUGAGUGUCUACCGCACUCACUGCAUUCGCUGCUUGCACUCUAGCCGAUGGACUACUACUACGGCUACCAUGGAUAACACGCUAUCGAGCCCGCCGGUCUAAUAUCACCUGGCGUGAGUGUGCCGAUCGCGGUACCAGGUCAACCGGCACCCGAUAUGGCGGCGCAAUAUUGGU